UGGUUUGAUUCUGGCUCAGAUUGAACGCUGGCGGGAUGCUUUACACAUGCAAGUCAACGCAGCACGGACUUCGGUCUGGUGGCGAGUGGCGAACGGGUGAGUAAUGUAUCGGAACGUGCCUAGUAGCGGGGGAUAACUACGCGAAAGGUAGCCAAUACUGCAUACGCCCUUCGGGGGAAAGCGGGGACCUUCGGGCCUCGCACUAUUAGAGCGGCCGAUAUCGGAUUAGCUAGUUGGUGGGGUGAAUUCAGCUCACCAAGGCGACGAUCCGUAGCUGGUUUGAGAGGACGACCAGCCACACUUUGGACUGAGACACGGCCCAGACUCCUACGGGAGGCAGCAGUGGGGAAUUUUGACAAUGGGGAAACUCCUGAUCCAGCCAUCCCGCGUGUGCGAUGAAGGCCUUCGGGUUGUAAAGCACUUUUUGGCAGGAAAGAAACGGCACGGGAUACCACUCCGUGCAACUGACGGUACCUGCAGAAUAAGCACCGGCUAACUACGUGCCAGCAGCCGUGCGUAAUACGUAGGUGCAAGCGUUAAUCGGAAUUACUGGGCGUAAAGCGUGCAGGCGGUUCGGAAAGAAAGAUGUGAACCAGAGCUUAACUUUGAACUGCAUUUUUAACUACCGAGCUAGAGUGUGUCAGAGGGAGGUGGAAUUCCGCGUGUAGCAGUGAAAUGCGGCAGAUACGGAGGAACACCGAUGGCGAAGGCAGCCUCCUGGGAUAACACUGACGCUCAUGCACGAAAGCGUGGGGAGCAAACAGGAUUAGACACCUGGUAUCCACGCCCUAAACGAUGUCAACUAGCUGUUGGGGCCUUCGGGCCUGCAGCGCAGCUAACGCGUGAAGUUGACCGCCUGGGGAGGCAUGGUCGCAAGAUUAAAACUCAAAGGAAUUGACGGGGACCCGCACAAGUGGUGGAUGAUGGAUUGGUUCCGAUGCAACGCGAAAACCUUACCUACCCCUGACAUGUCUGGAAUCCUGAAGAGAUUUGGGAGUGCUCGCAAGAGAACCGGAACACAGGUGCUGCAUGGCUGUCGUCAGCUCGUGUCGUGAGACGUUGGGUUAAGUCCCGCAACGAGCGCAACCCUUGUCACAUACGGAAGGGCAAUUUUACGAGAUCGCUGGUGACAACCGAGGAAGGUGGGGAUGACGUCAAGUCCUCAUACCCGCAGGUAGGGCUUCACGUCAUACAAUGGUCGGGACAGAGGGCUCAACCCCGCGAGGGGGAGCCAAUCCCAGAAACCCGAUCGUAGUCCGGAUCGCAGUCUGCAACUCGACUGCGAAGUCGGAAUCGCUAGUAAUCGCGGAUCAGCAUGUCGCGGUGAAUAUGUUCCCGGGUCUUGUACACACCGCCCGUCAGCACCAGGGAGGGGUUUUACCAGAAGUAGUUAGCCUAACCGUAAGGAGGGCGAUUACCACGGUAGGAUUCAUGACUGGGGUGAAGUCGUAACAAGGUAA
rnacentral:rRNA from 1 species